UUGCUUGCUAGACUGUUGCUAUGCAGUUGCUAAGGUAAUUAAGGUGCUUGCUAGACUGUUGCUAUGCAGUUGCUAAGGUAAUUAAGGUGCUUGCUAGACUGUUGCUAUGCAGUUGCUAAGGUAAUUAAGGUGCUUGCUAGACUGUUGCUAUGCAGUUGCUAAGGUAAUUAAGGUGCUUGCUAGACUGUUGCUAUGCAGUUGCUAAGGUAAUUAAGGUGCUUGCUAGACUGUUGCUAUGCAGUUGCUAAGGUAAUUAAGGUGCUUGCUAGGGUGUUGCUAUGCAGUUGCUAAGGUAAUUAAGGUGCUUGCUAGACUGUUGCUAUGCAGUUGCUAAGGUAAUUAAGGUGCUUGCUAGACUGUUGCUAUGCAGUUGCUAAGGUAAUUAAGUUGCUUUCUAGGGUGUUGCUAUGCAGUUGCUAAGGUAAUUAAGGUGCUUGCUAGACUGUUGCUAUGCAGUUGCUAAGGUAAUUAAGGUGCUUGCUAGACUGUUGCUAUGCAGUUGCUAAGGUAAUUAAGUUUCUU